rnacentral:rRNA from 1 species
UGGCAUGCACAGGCGAUGAAGGACGUGAUACGCUGCGAUAAGCCGUGGGGAGCUGCGAAUAAGCUUUGAUCCAUGGAUCUCCGAAUGGGGGAACCCACCUUAAAUGCUUGGAAAAUUUAAGUCGUGCGCAAGUACGGCUUAGGUUUCCAAGCAUUGUUUAAAGGUAUCUUAUCCUGAAUACAUAGGGGUAAGAAGCGAACGCAGGGAACUGAAACAUCUAAGUACCUGCAGGAAAGGACAUCAACCGAGACUCCGCAA